GCUGUCGUCAGCUCGUGCCGUAAGGUGUUGGGUUAAGUCUCGCAACGAGCGCAACCCUCGUGUUUAGUUGCCACUAUGAGUUUGGAACCCUGAACAGACCGCCGGUGUUAAGCCGGAGGAAGGAGAGGAUGAGGCCAAGUC
rnacentral:rRNA from 1 species